UAGGGAAUCUUCCACAAUGGGCGCAAGCCUGAUGGAGCAACACCGCGUGAGUGAAGAAGGGUUUCGGCUCGUAAAGCUCUGUUGUUAAAGAAGAAUGACAUUGAGAGUAACUGUUCAAUGUGUGACGGUAUCUUACCAGAAAGGAACGGCUAAAUACGUACCAG
rnacentral:rRNA from 1 species